rnacentral:rRNA from 1 species
AUGUACUCGGAUGAUAAAAGAGAGGCCAUAAAACGCUUCUUGAAUGACUUGAUCAACACACCUAUCUCAUGCUUACCUAACAAAAACUACAUAUUGCCAUAUAAAUAUCCACCUGCCCUGGGAAUUAGGAUGUCAAAGGUCCAAUGUUGUAUCGUUGAUAUGCUUAUUUUAGUGUCCUGUCUAUGGGAUACUCUGAAAAAGGGGUACUCCGAAAUGGAAUAUUGGAGGAAAACAAAACACAGCGGCAUUCUGUCUGCAGCAGAGCUCGCCCAUCAACCUUGCCGUUAUCGCAGCAUGAGCCGCUGUAUUCAGCGGCGCCGUCUCGUAGCCCCACUGUUCCCAAUCCUUCCUCCCACCUAA